UAUGUACCGUAUUUCAGUGAUUUUUCAAUGGAUAAAGGUGUCAAGGUAACAUAACACCUUUAUCAACUAAAAUCCACCUAGAAGGCAGAAGGGUCUAACUGACACAUGACACCCAAAUUUGAGGUUAUGUCAAAUUUGGAAUGAUAUUUUCUCAGUGUGUGUUCGUAAAAAGUGAUCUAAGUGAAUACUUUUAUUGUUGAAAUUCAUUAAGAAUUUGGAUUCCAGAGGACUGUCUCGAGGAAAACGCAUAUUGUCCUUGCUUGAUAAGCAACCGGAACAAAAAAAUAAUAUAGAAAUAGAUUCUCAUAGCCCUGGAUCAAAUUUGCCUAACCGAGUAGCACUUGAGCCUAAUUACGCCGAGUGUACCCAUCCAAAUAUUCAAAACAUACGUAGUACUUAUAAACCAGCUGAUGAAAAUGUUAAUCCUGUAAUAUAUUAUGACAAUCAUUCUGUCACUGCACCUAGUACCAGCAAAGAAGUGAUAGAGUCUGAAUCCUCAAUCAGUAAGAGCUUUACUAAACUAAGUCAUGAAAGCCAUGCACCGAGCCAUACACUGUACAAUAAUUAUUCCAGUGAUGAGGAUGUUACAUCAGGAAGUGAAUACUUACCUGAUGGGAACGAAUCAAUCGACGAAUCCGACUCAGACGAUGAACCGCUAUCCAGUAUUCGUGAUAAGAUGAAUCUCAUCAAUCAGAAAUUAAUACCGAAGAUUGGUUUGACCACUCCAG